GGAAAAUCUGGAUGCUUCAUACUUUGUAUAUAGAUGCUUCAUGUUACGAAGUUUCCGUCUGUCACAUGUCCAUUGUCCUUGGCCUCAUUUUCAUGGUUCAGUGACUACUUGAACAAAAAGUUAAUAUUUUUUGUAAUGUUAAUUUCUCUCUUAUUAUGAGUAAUAGGAUAAUAUAAAGAAGAUGUGGUAUGAUUGCCAAUGAGACAACUUUCCGCAAGAGACCAAAAUGACACAGAAAUUAACAAUUAUAGGUAACCGUACGGCCUUCAACAAUGAGCAAAGCCCAUACCGCAUAGUCAGCUAUAAAAGGCCCCGAAAUGACAAUGUAAAACAAUUCAAACGAGAAAACUAACGGCUCUAUUUAUAUAAAAAAAAAAUGAACGAAAAACAAACAUGUAACACAUAAACAAACGACAACCGCUGGAUUACAGGCUCCUGACUUGGGACAGGCACAUACAUACAUAGUGUGGCGGGGUUAAUCAUGUUAGCGGGAUCCCAACCAUCCCCGUAACCUGGGACAUUGGUAUAACAGUACAACAUAAGAACGAACUAUAAAAAUCAGUUGAAUAAGGCUUAAAUCAUCAGAUGGACAAAAAUACAAGUGGAUAUGGCCGGUAACUUGUACAUCCCAACAGCAAAACGACACCGGGAACAGAUCUAAGAGCACUUGAAGUUAAUUGAAAGCUAGUUCUUAGCCAUUAACAACCAAUUAAAAAAAAUCAUGCAUCUUAGACUAAAUUAUCAAUCUGUACACAUCCAACAUCCAAUGGAUUAGUGUAAAGACGCCAUAAACAGUCAGAGAAAAAACAUGAACUUGUGCAAUGCCAAGAUAUAGGUAUCGACAGAUUGUAGAUCCA
rnacentral:lncRNA from 1 species